UACGUAUGGUGCAAGCGUUAUCCGGAUUUACUGGGUGUAAAGGGAGCGUAGACGGAUAGGCAAGUCUGGAGUGAAAACCCGGGGCUCAACCCCGGGACUGCUUUGGAAACUGUUUAUCUAGAGUGCUGGAGAGGUAAGUGGAAUUCCUAGUGUAGCGGUGAAAUGCGUAGAUAUUAGGAGGAACACCGGAGGCGAAGGCGGCUCACUGGACUGCAACUGACACUGAGGCUCGAAAGCGUGGGGAGCAAACAGG
rnacentral:rRNA from 1 species